UUUUUUUUUUUUUUGUAAAUUUAUAUAAAAUCUUUUCCUCGUAUUUUUCCAUCCUCGUAAAAUUUUUGUAUACGUCUUGACGUUGUAUUGAUUAUUAAUUAUUAAUUAUUGGUAGUAAUUGGAAGGAAAUUUUCGUCCCAUCGUUUUAAAGGAGUUUGUUAUCGUUUUAGAUUCAAUUAUUUAUCUUUGAUGAAGAACUGUGACACGAAUCAGGAAGAAAAUAUGCCGUUAUAUUUUUAUUAAAGUCACAUGGAGAUGUAAAUAUUAUUCGAAAUACAGAAAAUAUAUUCCUUUAUUAUAUCAAGUGACUUCCAUUAUUUAUAUUUAAAUUAUAUUUAAAUUAUAAAACGAGAUAUUAGUUGAUUCAAAAGCGUAUUAUUAAUCGUUCAAUUUUUAAAAUUCUAGUAAGAAUAAUAAAAAAUAUUAGAUAAGUAAAGGAGAGUAGAAAUUGUCGCGAUUAAAGGUAUCGACGAAUUAAAAUUCGUAGAAUAUCUUUUAAAAUUAUCGUAUACGUAGAAUAAUAUUACGGAUAAUAAGAGAAUGGCGAAAGAACGAGGAAGAUGUUCUCUGAUUGUUUCCUUGUUCAUCGUCCAAUCCAAUUUGAGAUUCGAAACGAUCAUCAGGCGCAUCUGUUCAGAAUCGAGAGUUGCAAUCGAUGGAUAGACGGAUAGAUUGGAAGGAAAUUGAAGUAAAUUUACCGAUUUCGUAGAAAUUGCGAGCAGUUGCGACACAGCAUCUCUCGAUGCUUCAUCGUCUAGAUUGACUCGAGCACGCAGUCGAUCCACAAUAGUUUACAAUUACUUGUUAUCGAACAAAAAGAUGUGGAUUGAAAUAAUUCUGUUCGAGACAAGAUAACUCGAGUAAAGGAAUGUCGAGAGUGAGGGAAAAAAGAAUAGAAUUAUUCAAAAUAAACAAAAAACUCACUCUCCCUCUUCAAGGACUCGAAAACAAGGAAAAAAAAAAAAAGAAAAAAGAAAAAUAGAAAUAAAAGGUAUUAAGAUGUUAUUUGUAAAAAAAAAUUACAAAAGGAGCUCGAAAAAAGAGAGAAGCAAUAAUAUUACGAUUAUUCAAGAGAAGAAGCGCGGCGAAAGUAAGUGCACUUGGGAACAAAGGAAGAAAUCGACAAGAGGUUUCAGAAAAGUAGGCGCAACAGCUUAGAAUAGAGCAGAAACGGGCGACGGUAUCCUCUUCCGCGGUGAAAUAACGGGAAAAGAAGGAAAGCAGAAGGUGAGAGUCUGCGCAAGGUGAGGUUAGGUUGGGCGAGGUUAGUUUAACUAUGCACGAGGCUGGACGUUCGCCAAGGUCCCGUGGAAAGAGGGGCAGUCUUGACCUCACGAGAUCGUCGACACGCUCAUUUCCGAUUAUAUAUUUAGAUUAGUAUCUGUGCAAACGCGUGCUCAAUAAUAUCGGGUAAAAAUUAUUUUCACCGAUUUCUUUCCAACUUCGAAAAUCCUAACCUAACUCUCGAUCACGUUCAAAGUUUUUUUUUUCAAGAAAGUAUCUUGAACAAUCUUAGAAAUGACGUUCGGAAUACUUCAGAUACUCUUGAAUCGUCAUCAAAAUAUCGAGAAUUAGCUCGGUGAAAAGAACGUUCCAACACAGUUUUUCUUCUUUGCUGACUGAAAACUUCUUUAAAAGGAGUUCAAGAUUUCUCUCGUAGAAAGAAACUGGAAAUCGGAGUGCCAAAAUAGAGAAGUUGACAAACAGCUUCAAAUUUCCAACUUUUUCGAACUCUUUGAGGAUAAUGUGCGUGCGAUCAACGAAGUACGAUAAUUUCCUUCGUAAAACGAUUCCUGAAACGAAAUAUAGCAAACGAAACGAAAUAUAGUAAACGACUUUGCUACAAUGUACUCGCGUCGCCGCCCAACUCGUUUCUUCGUUUCCGAAUUUCACGGGAGUGCGCGUUGCUAUACGAUUCACGAUAUCGAGGGGAAAAAAAGGAAUCGAAAGGCAUUGCCGAGCGAAUAAUAUCGGAUCAGGGACUCAGGUUAUCAGGUGUGCUGUUGUUUCUAAAGAAUUUUCGAGUUCGAGUGAAAGGCUGGUCGAUCUACCGAGUCGGUCGUGACGUUUGAUAAAGCCUGUUGCCUUAUUACCAUUCCAAAGCUCGCGGACCAAAUAUUGCUUGCUACAAAUUAUCGUAUGUACGUGUAUACGCACAAGGGCUAUCGAGAUAAAUUAACGACCCGCGUCAUUUCGGUCUGGCAUAAGUCGAUGAUUGCGACCGUUAUACUUAAUGCUCAUGCAUAUUCAUCCUCGUAUACCGUACACGGAUAAAAAAUUCAUUAUUCGUUGGAAAAGUUUACAAACACUGCUUCUCUUCCCCUGGAAACCUCGACUCGGCGUCCUCUUUUCUUUCUUUUUUUGACAUCACGGUAGAUCGAUAAAAAUAUAUACGGCAGUAUUUAUGUUGUUUCGCCGAUAACUUUCUGAUUAUUUUUUUUUCUUUUUCUCGUCGUUAUAUAUUCAAAAUGAACUCUAACAUAUUAUUAAUUUUUGUUUAUAUAUGCUAUAAUAAAUGAUUGAAAAGAUGAUUGAAAAAAAUUUUAAAGGUUAAGUAUAAUGUUGCUUCGAUAAUUUAUUAUCCGAAGCAGAUAACAAUUAUAACUGUUACGAAUGUAUAUUGUAAAUAUUAUUAUAUAUAUAGUUUUAAACUUUAUCCUAAUUUACGUGAAAUUUUUCUGUUCGUGCAUUUUAUAUAAAACACUUCUACUUCUUGUAUUAUUAAAAAUAGAAAAUUCUCCUGUUUCGCAUAAAAUUUUUCUAAACAUAACUUAUCAUCACAUUCUUGAGAAAUUACUUUUCCAAGGAAAACAAAUCUCGAUACCUGUAUUCUAAUCCGAUUACCUAGUUCACCUCGAGUUCGAUCUUUUUUUUUUCGAUGAGCGAUCAGCGACAGUAGCGACUCGGAAUCAUCUUGGCCGCGAUGGAAACAAUGCAUCAGAGUCGGUUGCAUCAGAAGGAGCGAACGAACGGUUACACCUGUAACGGACGAAUAGCGAUGUCGAAAGGCUGGUUCGAGCACCGUGACGUGUCCCAAGCGAAUUUCUUCGUAACCGCACCGCGCCAGCCCACACCGUGAGCAAAUUUGCAACGGAAUGGACGGCAUUUAGGUAGCGCGAAUUUGCAUUUUCGCGUUUUACGGCCAUCCGUGCGGAAAACAGGGCUCGUUCUCCGAGAAAACUGCUCCUUUCCAAUGUUUUAUUCAUUUCGAGUGAUUCUCGUGUAACGAGAGAACAGAUUCAUUUCUCGUAUCGGCCAAUUUCAAUCCUAUUUUAUCAUCGAGAAAGAAAAACAGGCGUAAAUUUCUUUAAACUUUCAUCAAAAAUAAAGAUUCAACGGACAUAUGUGACAAAUAAAAAAAUCAGUGCAAUGAAGAAAUAACGGAUUCUUAUUGUUCUCCUUGGCUUUUCUCGACUUCCAUCGAAGCCAGUUCUUCGAAACUAAUUGGCCAUCGGUUAACUUACCUCGUUAGCCAACGUCCCAAUACUUGCAAAACGGGCGUGCGGUUGAAUCAUAAAAGCGACGUGCCCAUCGGUUGCAUCGAAAAGGAAAUAAAGAAGGCGUGAGGAGACACGAGCCAUCUUGUCACCGAUUACGAAAGGAGGAAAUUAUUACGCGUCCUCAUACGCGUUGUAAAAUGUCAUCGAGAAACGUCGAAAAACUCAUUUCUCUCUUUCGAUCCUUGGGGUUUAUAAAAAAAAGAAACGUGCGUGGAUCGCGCACGCCUUUCCUGAAAAUUGCAUUUCAUUUCAAUUAACCGAUGAUUAACGACACUCACGCUGUUGGAUAAUUAUUUAAGGCGAUUAUCGAUUGUCCAUGAUUUUUCAAUGAAUCUGUUUUCUUUCCGAGGCUACAAUAAAAAGUGGAAAAUAGAAUUUUUCACUAGCAGAAUGCCAAAGUCUCUGUCUUUUAAAUGGCAACUUAUAGUAUAUAGUAUAGUAUAUGAUAAUAUUGUUCCUUUGAACGAACGCGGUAAAUCAAGAUCACAAUCUGUGAUGAUUCAUGAAUAUCAAUAUAAAUUGUAUAGAAAAACGGAUUCUGAUUAUGUAUGUUUUAAAGAUUAUUUCUCGAUAAAUGAGAAAAAUAUAAAUUCAGAAUUCAUUUGUCAAGAAAAAGGGAGAAACAUAUUAGUUGUAUAGAAAAAAAUAAAUAAAUAAAAAAUAUAACAUUAUAAAA